rnacentral:lncRNA from 1 species
ACGUUCGGGGGCCGAAUGUGCCUCCGCAUCCAUGCAAAUGUUCGGCGGCCGAACAUGAGGUUCGGCGGCCGAACCUGCACUUUCCUCACUCAUGCUUUCGGGGGCCUAACGUGCCUCCAAAACGCAUGCACGUUCGGCGGCCGAACUUGACUUUCGGCGGCCGAACCUGGGUUUUCCUCCAAAGGCUUUUCAUGCAAAAACUCCUUUAGUUUCAUACUUUAAAACAUUAUAAUACAUGAAAACAUUUUAUAAAACAUGAUUCUACCCUUCUAGAGGUCUCCGACAUCCGAGAUUCCACCGGACGGUAGAAAUUUCCGAUACCGGAGUCUAGCCGGGUAUUACAUUCUCCCCCCCUUAAGAACAUUCGUCCUCGAAUGUUCCUCAGCUAGGACAUGCAUAACAUGAAACAUAACAUACAAUCAUAACAACAUAUAAGUUCUAAUCUAAAAAGAAACACGGUGUCACUGGAGUAUGAACUCUCGGUCUCCCUGGGGUACUUAUCAUCUAAGGUGAUUCUAAGGGACUUUCACCAUUGGGAUUUUCCUUGUUUCCACACUUUCUAACUUGCGUGUCUGCGGUCUGUACUAGCUGAUCAACAUAGGUGAGAUCCUCUGCGAUCUCCACCUCUGGUUCCUUCAAGAACCUCACUCGGACCCGACACAAACUCAUAUACCGUGGAAACAUGGAAAAAUGGAUGGAUCUCUUCCAUCGAAGUAGGUAAAUCUAACUCGUGGGAUGCAUUCCCAAAUCUUUUGCAGGAUUUCAAAGGGUCUAAUGUAUCUUAGAGCUAAUUUACCUUUUUGCCCGUAACGAAUCACCCUCUCUUUAGGAGACACCUCCAGUAACCUCAACUUCCUCGAGAACCUCAACAUGUUCCCGCUGCACACUCUGACAAAACUCUUCUCUCUUCUGGUACUCUACAUGCCUCUUGUGGACAACUUCAUAACUCUCCUGCUGACUUACAGCAGUUCUGAUUCUUUUGUCUUCUGAUUACUGGCCUCCUUCCUCUUGUACUAAGGGAUGGAAUAAGCUGUCAAGUGGUUUCCGGUCGAGGGCAUCUACUAAGUAUUUGCCUCACCCGGAUAUUGAACCUUGAAGUCAUAACCACUAUGCAGUUUUUGCCCAUCACCUUUACUUCAGGUUCUUCUCCCUUGACUCAAGAUGUAUUGCAAGUUCUUUCGAUCUGUAAGCAUCUGUCCUCAUACCUUAUAC